CGAGCACGUUUUAAACACACGGACAGAGACCGUCCUUCUCACAUGGUGG
rnacentral:rRNA from 1 species